GUACACUCCUACGGGAGGCAGCAGUGGGGAAUUUUGGACAAUGGGCGAAAGCCUGAUCCAGCCAUGCCGCGUGCAGGAUGAAGGCCUUCGGGUUGUAAACUGCUUUUGUACGGAACGAAACGGCCUUUUCUAAUAAAGAGGGCUAAUGACGGUACCGUAAGAAUAAGCACCGGCUAAAUACGUGCCAGCAGCCGCGGUAAUACGUAGGGUGCAAGCGUUAAUCGGAAUUACUGGGCGUAAAGCGUGCGCAGGCGGUUAUGUAAGACAGUUGUGUAAUCCCCGGGCUCAACCUGGGAACUGCAUCUGUGACUGCAUAGCUAGAGUACGGUAGAGGGGGAUGGAAUUCCGCGUGUAGCAGUGAAAUGCGUAGAUAUGCGGAGGAACACCGAUGGCGAAGGCAAUCCCCUGGACCUGUACUGAUGCUCAUGCACGAAAGCGUGGGGAGCAAACAGGAUUAGAUACCCGGGUAGUCCCAUGA
rnacentral:rRNA from 1 species